rnacentral:rRNA from 1 species
UGGGGAAUAUUGGACAAUGGGCGAAAGCCUGAUCCAGCAAUACCGAGUGAGUGAUGAAGGCCCUGGGGUUGUAAAGCUCUUUUAGCAAGGAAGAUAAUGACGUUACUUGCAGAAAAAGCCCCGGCUAACUCCGUGCCAGCAGCCGCGGUAAGACGGAGGGGGCUAGCGUUGUUCGGAAUUACUGGGCGUAAAGAGUGCGUAGGCGGUUUAGUAAGUUGGAAGUGAAAGCCCGGGGCUUAACCUCGGAAUUGCUUUCAAAACUACUAAUCUAGAGUGUAGUAGGGGAUGAUGGAAUUCCUAGUGUAGAGGUGAAAUUCUUAGAUAUUAGGAGGAACACCGGUGGCGAAGGCGGUCAUCUGGGCUACAACUGACGCUGAUGCACGAAAGCGUGGGGAGCAAACA